rnacentral:tRNA from 1 species
GCCGAGGUAGCUCAGUCGGUAGAGCAGUGGACUGAAAAUCCGCGUGUCGGCGGUUCGAUUCCGUCCCUCGGCA